UACAUUUUCUGCAGCUGACACACUUCAAUUUUACGUAACUUAUCUUUUGCCCAAUCACAACGCCGGAAGAAGUUACGUGCUUAACAACGUCAUGACUUUGGAAUGUGGCUGAUAUGAUAGAACGAAAGCGAAAGGUUUGUUUGCUGUCUGGCGUGUUUCAUACCGAUUGUUAGACCGUUCUUGGCACACUGAUGUUGACUACGGCGCAAUACGGACAAUUCCGUUCCCCUGAUCAAGAUAUGGCUGGUGUGACCGGUUGACAGGGGAUGCUUACCCUUUCUAGGCACCUGAUCCCACCUCUGUUGUAUCCAGGGGUCCAUGUUUGCCCGACUACCUAUUUUGGAUUGCAUAUAGGAGUUAUGAGAUUGAUUACUGUUCGUUAUCUUCACCUUUCAUACAUAUUUUUCCAGCACCAAUAACUUCAGCGCUUUGGACAACUGUCUCUUCAACAUUUAUCUAUAUAUUCCAAUAUCUUCAUUUUUGCAAUUGUGUUUCCUAGUUGAGUGAUAGCAUCUGUAUUGUUCUCAACAAUAAUUUCGGUGUCAACAUUUUAUUGGCGUUCCAAUUUUAUUUGCAACACCUUUCUAUAGAUGGGAAAUUACAAGUAUUUGUUAACUUGG